UUUCCGUAGGUGAACCUGCGGAAGGAUCAUUAUUGUAUAACCGAGGUGCGAGGGCUGUCGCUGACCCGAAAGGUCGUGCACGCCCGAGUGCCCUCACACACAUCCAUCUCACCCCUAUGUGCACCUCCGCGUGGGUCCCCCUUUGGCUUGUUCGGAGGGGGGCUUACGUUUUCACACAAACUUUGUAUGCAGUGUAGAAUGUAUUUUUUGUUUUUGCGAUCACGCAAUCAAUACAACUUUCAACAACGGAUCUCUUGGCUCUCGCAUCAUGAAGAACGCAGC
rnacentral:misc_RNA from 1 species